rnacentral:tRNA from 5 species
GCCCGCUUAGCUCAGCGGUUAGAGCAUCGCCUUUGUAAUGCGAUGGUCAUCGGUUCGAUUCCGAUAGCUGGCU